rnacentral:rRNA from 1 species
UACGGAGGAUGCGAGCGUUAUCCGGAUUUAUUGGGUUUAAAGGGUGCGUAGGCGGGCUUUUAAGUCAGCGGUAAAAAUUCGGGGCUCAACCCCGUCCGGCCGUUGAAACUGGGGGCCAUGAGUGGGCGAGAAGAAGGCGGAAUGCGUGGUGUAGCGGUGAAAUGCAUAGAUAUCACGCAGAACCCCGAUUGCGAAGGCAGCCUUCCGGCGCCCUACUGACGCUGAGGCACGAAAGUGCGGGGAUCGAACAGG